rnacentral:rRNA from 1 species
UACCUGGGGUGCAAACGUUGCUCGGAAUUAUUGGGCGUAAAGCGCACGUAGGCGGUUCGUUAAGUCGGAUGUGAAAGCCCUCGGCUCAACUGAGGAAGUGCACCCGAAACUGGCGAGCUUGAGUACGAAAGAGGAUCGCGGAAUUCCCGGUGUAGAGGUGAAAUUCGUAGAUAUCGGGAGGAACACCGGUGGCGAAGGCGGCGAUCUGGGUCGAUACUGACGCUGAGGUGCGAAAGCGUGGGGAGCAAACAGG